UACGAAGGGGGCUAGCGUUGCUCGGAAUCACUGGGCGUAAAGGGUGCGUAGGCGGGUCUUUAAGUCAGGGGUGAAAUCCUGGAGCUCAACUCCAGAACUGCCUUUGAUACUGAGGAUCUUGAGUCCGAGAGAGGUGAGUGGAACUGCGAGUGUAGAGGUGAAAUUCGUAGAUAUUAGCUAGAACACCAGUGGCGAAGGCGGCCAACUGGUCCGGUACUGACGCUGAGGUGCGAAAGCGUGGGGAGCAAACAGG
rnacentral:rRNA from 1 species